rnacentral:rRNA from 1 species
AAAACUUUCAACAACGGAUCUCUUGGUUCUGGCAUCGAUGAAGAACGCAGCGAAAUGCGAUAAGUAAUGUGAAUUGCAGAAUUCAGUGAAUCAUCGAAUCUUUGAACGCACAUUGCGCCCGCCAGUAUUCUGGCGGGCAUGCCUGUCCGAG